rnacentral:rRNA from 1 species
AAACCAACAGGGAUUGCCUCAGUAACGGCGAGUGAAGCGGCAAAAGCUCAAAUUUGAAAUCUAGCACUUUCAGUGUUCGAGUUGUAAUUUGAAGAAGGUAACUUUGGUUUUGGCUCUUGUCUAUGUUCCUUGGAACAGGACGUCACAGAGGGUGAGAAUCCCGUGCGAUGAGAUGCCCAAUUCCAUGUAAAGUGCUUUCGAAGAGUCGAGUUGUUUGGGAAUGCAGCUCUAAGUGGGUGGUAAAUUCCAUCUAAAGCUAAAUAUUGGCGAGAGACCGAUAGCGAACAAGUACAGUGAUGGAAAGAUGAAAAGAACUUUGAAAAGAGAGUGAAAAAGUACGUGAAAUUGUUGAAAGGGAAGGGCUUGAGAUCAGACUUGGUAUUUUGCGUUCCCUUCCUUUUUGGUUGGGUUCCUCGCAGUUUACUGGGCCAGCAUCGGUUUGGAUGGUAGGAUAAUGACAUUGGAAUGUAGCUUUACUUCGGUGAAGUGUUAUAGACUUUGUUGAUACUGCCUAUCUAGACCGAGGACUGCGUCU